UUCAGUGUGGAAGUUCACACUCCAGUCACAAACGUCAUUUGCUGCAUUUGCAAUCUUGUAUUUGCACCCUCGGUAUCCCUGGGUGCUUUGAUUGCUACCUUUGCUAUCCAGAGUUUCAUGUUGCACUUUGUUCUGGGAGCUUUCAACAUGGGACAUCUCUGAGUGGUGGUGUGGCCGCUCCCGCACAGCCUUAGCCUGCAGCCAUCUCCUCGCAGAGGGUCACCUGCGCAGACGAUGAAGCGAUUGCCGAGUGCUGUGCCUUUGUCCAGAUGCCAUCUUGUUCGAUUACUUUUGUCUUUGUUGUUCCUUUUUACUCAAAAUUAUUGUCUUGCAUCCAACAAACUGUAAGAUAAUUACUUGUUUCCACUGUUAUAACCUGUUGCAGUGAAUGUUAUUUCUCAUA